rnacentral:rRNA from 1 species
GGACGAACGCUGGCGGUGUGCCUCAUACAUGCAAGUCGAACGAGAAAUUACUUUCGGGUAAUGGAAAGUGGCGGACGGGUGAGUAAUAUGUAGGAAAUCUGCCCUAGAGAGGGGGACAACAGAGGGAAACUUCUGCUAAUACCCCAUAUGAGCUUAGUUGAAAUACUAAUCUUGAAAACUCCGGUGCUCUAGGAUGAGCCUGCAUCUGAUUAGCUAGUUGGUGGUGUAAUGGACCACAAAGGCGACGAUCAGUAGCUGGUUUGAGAGGAUGAUCAGCCACAAUGGGACUGAGACACGGCCCAUACUCCUACGGGAGGCAGCAGUAGGGAAUUUUGCGCAAUGGGGGAAACCCUGAACCGCAGCAACACCGCGUGAAUGUUAAGCCCUUCGGGGUAUAAAGUUCUGUCAAUGGGGAAGAAUAAAUGACUGUACCCAUAAAGGAAGCACCGGCUAACUCCGUGCCAGCAGCUGC